CCUACGGGGGCGGCAGUGGGGAAUAUUGGACAAUGGGCGAAAGCCUGAUCCAGCCAUGCCGCGUGUGUGAAGAAGGCCUUCGGGUUGUAAAGCACUUUCAGUGGGGAAGAAAGCCUUGGGGCUAAUACCCUCGAGGAAGGACAUCACCCACAGAAGAAGCACCGGCUAACUCCGUGCCAGCAGCCGCGGUAAUACGGAGGGUGCGAGCGUUAAUCGGAAUUACUGGGCGUAAAGCGCGCGUAGGCGGUCUGAUAAGCCGGUUGUGAAAGCCCCGGGCUCAACCUGGGAACGGCAUCCGGAACUGUCAGGCUAGAGUGCAGGAGAGGAAGGUAGAAUUCCCGGUGUAGCGGUGAAAUGCGUAGAGAUCGGGAGGAAUACCAGUGGCGAAGGCGGCCUUCUGGACUGACACUGACGCUGAGGUGCGAAAGCGUGGGUAGCAAACAGGAUUAGAUACCCUGGUAGUC
rnacentral:rRNA from 1 species